UUGAUACUGAAGUACAAGUUGAAUAAGCAGCCAAAAUUUGGGACUGCCGAUCUGUCAACAACAUGAAAGCGCAAAGUUCUUUUACCUCUGCUGCAGGCUAUUAUGUUACACAAUAAAAAGUUACCGGUAAACACAUCAAGUUUUUACAAGGGGGAACAAAGUGUUAUGAUGUGUUGGUGUUUGAAAUUAUUUUCCUAGCCUGUUCUCCCUGGUGGUGGAGAGCGCAGUAUGAAUGUGUGGAGCUGGAUUCUUUGGUAUUUGUGGUGUCAGAUGGUGACAAGCUCACAGGGAAUGACUUAUACUUAUUGCACAGGAAUGAAGCUUUGCCUCAAGAACCUCUCUACAUUUCUACAUUCAGUAUGAUAAACUGAACUUUUGAGCUGGCAUCUGAAAAAGAAGCAAAGCAGUCACAGCUGUAUUUUGUAUCAUACCUGUCUCUUUGUCUUGUACCUCAUCCAGGUGCAGGGCAUUCAGGAGAUGCUCCAAAAUCUUCUCCGGAGUCCCAGACACCACCAUGUACCUGUCAGAAAGCAAAGAGUCCACAGAGUCAUCCUCGGUAGAGGAUUGCGAGCGGCUGCUCCACUCGUCUUCCUCAUCCUCCUCAUCAAUGUAUUUAAAAUAAGGCACAUCAAAUGUGGGCAAAGGAAGCUCCCUGACAGUGAAAGCUGAUGGCUUUUUGUUCAUGUGGCCAUUAAAGACCCUCAGCUUUGAGCUUCCCAUUGUGGCGUUUCAGUGACAAAGGGCAUCCCCUAUAAUGUGCAGUGUAUUCCCAAACCAGAUCUGUCUUUGCUAGCUAAAUCCAUCUGCCAGCUCAGUGUUCUGCAGUCAGCCUGAGCCUGACUGUCUGUGUGUGUCUGGAUGCCUAGAGGAAAAACUCUUACCUCCAAUCAGUCUCGCCACUCCCUGCUGUGGAGGCUGGCUUCUCUGAUGACACUUUCCUAAGCACCAGAACAUCUUGGUCCUGUUCUCUCACUUGUACUGUGGUUGCUUCUUCAUCCUGUUUCCAAACAAGAAUCUAGAUUAAUUUAGAAAUAUGCUGUGUCUCAUGAGAAUACACAGACAUCUGAACACAACCCUGUGAAAAGCAUACAAUGAUUUAUACUGCAACACGUCACAUUACAUCAAGGGUUGUGAACUGAUGUCCAGGCAUACUGCUCUUAUUAUAAUUACACAUUUUAAUGUGUUCGUAACCCAGGCCACAUUUUUCCUGCACCAUUCUAAAACCUGGAAACACUGCAUCAAAUCAGAUCUACAUAUAUCAGUCGAAUUGCUAGCCAAUAGUGCUAUAAUGUGUAACAGUCUGGCCAAGUACAGUAUGGAGAGAAAACAAUUUUGUAAGAAGGGCCAUGGACAAAAAAAAUCUGAAAAUGGGGGCAAUUUAUUUUCUAUCUUUGUUGAAUGCUGCAUUUCUUUCUUUAUCUUGUGCAUUGUACCAUAAGUUAGAGGUAUAAAAUCUACCAAAAUACAAUUGUAUGUUUUACCAUGUAAACUCUAAUGUCUAAAUCUGCACAGACAUGAUAAGAAGAAUUGUAUUACAUACAACAGUUGUUGAAGGUUAGUUGUUAUUUUAACUCUGCACAGUGUGAGAGGUUUAAAAAUGUAUUGUGAAUGAUUUUCUUAAAAUGUACAUAUACUAUAAAUGCUACAGUUUACCAAUGAAUUCCUAGUCCUUUAGCGCCUCCAAAUUUAAUACAUUGAUAGAGUCUCCAUGAACUCCAGUUUAAGUGUAUUGUUCUUCCCAAGUCUCAGGGCUUGUUUACACUUGUGGCAUUGGACAAGCUUUUAUAAAGCACUCUGAAUGUCAAUCAAAGCACCUGUCACUAAAUAAAAUGGUAAGCUUA